UGAAGAGCCUUGUCAAUGAAUUCCUGACGAACGAAAAGCAUUUUGAGGAGUCGAGCAUUGAGAAGAAUGGUGGGGAAGUAGAAAGAUUCCUUUUCCCACCUGAGCAUAGGUCCUUGAUGCAUGUUGGCCAACUGAUUGAUGGCUACCUGGCUGAGAUUGCUCAUGAUGCCAAUGUUGGCCUCGAAAGCUUCAUGGACCUUUCUCGAUCUGUUCCGGAGCCUGCAAGGCCGAUUCAUGAUGGUCUUUACAUGGCGAUUGACAUCUACCUCAAGGCAAGCUAAUACUAUUAUAAUUGGUUACAUAACUUAGUAACUGGUUAUAAUCACAUGUAACUAGUUAUGAUAGGUUGUAACUGAUUAUAAUCCUAUUAUGUUCAUUUUUCCUUUCCAAAGUUAAAAAGUAAUUCAUGUGCUUACCCAUAAAAGGCGUUUCUUAUUAUUAUUAUUAUCAUUCAGGAGCAUCCAGGGUUGAGUAAGGUUGAAAGAAAGAAGAUGUGCAGCAUGUUGGAUGUUAAGAAGCUGACAAUGAAUGCUUCAAUGCACGCAGCACAAAAUGAGAGUCUCCCGCUUCGUUUGGUUGUACAAGUUCUCUUCUUUGAGCAGGUCAGAGCAGCAGCAGCAGCAGCUAAUGGUCAAAGCCUCAACCACAACCUGAAUUACACUUCGAAUGCGACGAAAAACACAGAGGAAGGUUGCGAAGUCCUGGAGAAGCAAAUGAGCGUGAAAUUGAAGGUAGCAACUGUUGAGGCUGAGGAGGAGGAAGAGGAGGAGCAGAGGAAUAUGAGGCUGAUGAAGAAAAACAGCAGCAAGAAUAGCAAAAGUGGAUUGCAGUUGCUACCAUCUCGUUCAAGGAGAAUAUUUGACAAGUUGUGGGGUGUUGGGAGGGGAGGGCAUGUAGUAGAGAGCAAGAGCUCUGAGACAUCUGGCAGCUCAGAGCUGAAUGUGCAUUCAUUCAUUGUCCUUUAUUUGGUGGAUAUAUUAAAUUUUGCUACCUCUUUUUCUGGAAAUUAUGACACGUGUGCUCUUCUUACAUGUAGGUAUGUUCCAUCCGAGCUGGCUACAGAUGUCACCAUUAAUGUUGGUGAAGUUAAAUUUUACCUCCACAAGGUAACUUCUUCAGUGCUUCUUCAAUAGCUGCUGAUAUGUUUGAAAUUCCGCCUUUUUAGAGUAGUUAGGACACAAGGCCUUUGAAAUAUGUGCUAAAUUCUGCUACGGAAUGACAGUCACUCUCAACGCAUACAAUGUCGUAGCUGCUCGAUGUGCAGCUGAGUACCUUGAGAUGACUGAGGAUGUCGAUUCAGGGAACCUGAUUUUCAAGAUUGAGGUGUUCCUCAACUCGAGCAUUUUCCGGAGCUGGAAAGAUUCUAUCAUUGUUCUUCAGACCACCAAGGCUCUAUUGCCCUGGUCUGAUGAGUUGAAGAUUGUUGGGAGAUGCAUUGAUUCCAUUGCAUCCAAGACUUCCAUUGACCCUUCCACUAUCACUUGGUCUUAUACUUACAAUAGGAAGCUGAAUGAUGCAGACAAUGAGAUACUACUAGAAGAUGAUGAUGACGUGCAUCGCAAGUUUCGAAAGAGAAACGGUCAUCAUCAUGGUGUUCCAAAGGAUUGGUGGGUUGAAGAUGCAUGUGAGCUGGAAAUUGACCUCUACAAGAGAGUAAUUCUUGCUGUCAAAUCGAAGGGUAGAAUGGACUGUAUGGUGAUGGGAGAGGCUCUUAAAUGUUAUGCUCUUCGAUGGCUUCCUGAUUCCUUAGAUGACUUGACUUGCGACGCAAGUAACUCGUGGCAUAAGUAUCUGGUGGAAACACUAAUCCAUCUUCUGCCCGCUGAAAAGGCUGGUGGUGGCUGUUCUUGUAGUUUCUUACUCAAAUUGUUGAAAGUCGCCAUCUUUGCUGGAGUUAAUGAUACCCUCAAGGAAGAUCUAGUGAAGAGGGCUGGUCUGAAGUUGCAGGAGGCUUCUGUUGAGGAUCUGUUGAUCCCGGCACAGUCGCCUCAGUCUACUACAAAGUACGAUGUUGAGUUGGUGAAGAGCCUUGUCAAUGAAUUCCUGACGAACGAAAAGCAUUUUGAGGAGUCGAGCAUUGAGAAGAAUGGUGGGGAAGUAGAAAGAUUCCUUUUCCCACCUGAGCAUAGGUCCUUGAUGCAUGUUGGCCAACUGAUUGAUGGCUACCUGGCUGAGAUUGCUCAUGAUGCCAAUGUUGGCCUCGAAAGCUUCAUGGACCUUUCUCGAUCUGUUCCGGAGCCUGCAAGGCCGAUUCAUGAUGGUCUUUACAUGGCGAUUGACAUCUACCUCAAGGCAAGCUAAUACUAUUAUAAUUGGUUACAUAACUUAGUAACUGGUUAUAAUCACAUGUAACUAGUUAUGAUAGGUUGUAACUGAUUAUAAUCCUAUUAUGUUCAUUUUUCCUUUCCAAAGUUAAAAAGUAAUUCAUGUGCUUACCCAUAAAAGGCG
rnacentral:lncRNA from 1 species